rnacentral:rRNA from 1 species
AUUGAACGCUGGCGGCAGGCCUAACACAUGCAAGUCGAACGAGUGGCGGACGGGUGAGUAAUGUCUGGGAAACUGCCCGAUGGAGGGGGAUAACUACUGGAAACGGUAGCUAAUACCGCAUCCCAUCGGAUGUGCCCCGAUGGGAUUAGAUAGUGGUUGGGGUAACGGCUCCCCUAGGCGACGAUCACUAGCUGGUCUGAGAGGAUGACCAGGCACACUGGAACGGGGACACGGUCCAGACUCCUACGGGAGGCAGCGGAGGGGAAUAUUGCACAAUGGGCGCAAGCCUGAUGCAGCCAUGCCGCGUGUAUGAAGAAGGCCUUCGGGUUGUAAAGUACUUUCAGCGAGGGGGCGUUACUCGCAGAAGAAGCACCGGCUAACUCCGUGCCAGCAGCCGCGGUAAUUC